GGGCGGCUAGCUCAGUUGGUUAGAGUACGUGCUUGACAUGCACGGGGUCACUGGUUCAAAUCCAGUGUCGCCCAUCA
rnacentral:tRNA from 1 species